rnacentral:rRNA from 1 species
CAGCAGCCGCGGUAAAACGGAGGGUGCAAGCGUUAAUCGGAAUUACUGGGCGUAAAGCGCACGCAGGCGGUCUGACAAGUCAGAUGUGAAAUCCCCGGGCUUAACCUGGGAACUGCAUUUGAAACUGUCAGGCUGGAGUCUUGUAGAGGGGGGUGGAAUUCCAGGUGUAGCGGUGAAAUGCGUAGAGAUCUGGAGGAAUACCGGUGGCGAAGGCGGCCCCCUGGACAAAGACUGACGCUCAGGUGCGAAAGCGUGGGGAGCAAACAGGAUUAGAUACCCGAGUAGUCCCUGUCUCUAUACC